rnacentral:rRNA from 1 species
UACAGAGGGUGCGAGCGUUAAUCGGAAUUACUGGGCGUAAAGCGCACGUAGGUGGCGACGUAAGUCGGGUGUGAAAGCCCCGGGCUCAACCUGGGAAUUGCAUUCGAGACUGCAUUGCUGGAGUACGGAAGAGGAGGGCGGAAUUCCCGGUGUAGCGGUGAAAUGCGUAGAUAUCCGGAAGAACACCGGUGGCGAAGGCGGCCUGCUGGGCAGUAGCUGACGCUGAGGCGCGACAGCGUGGGGAGCAAACAGG